GGGCGGGGCCGGACGUGAGGCGGCGACGAUGGCGGCAGUGCUGGAGCCAGUGCUGGAGCUCGGGGGCGACGGGGCCGCGGCGGGGCCCGGGCCGGGCCCAGGGCCGUCGUUGGGCCGGGGGGGCCUGGAGGUGCUGCAGCACACGGUGGCGUCGCUGCUGUCCAGCUAUGGCUGGUACAUCCUCCUGGCCGCCGUCGCCGUCUAUCUGCUCGUGCAGAAGGUGUCCCGGAGCCUGGCGGCGCGGUCGAGCGGCCCCGGAGCGGCUGAGGCGGCGGAGGAGCCUGAUGUGGUGGUAAGAAGGCAGGAAGCUUUGGCAGCAGCUCGCCUCAGGAUGCAGGAGGAGUUGAAUGCACAAGCAGAAAGAUACAAGGAAAAACAAAAACAGCUUGAAGAAGAGAAGCGGAGGCAGAAGAUAGCGAUGUGGGAAAGCAUGCAAGAGGGGAAGAGCUACAAAGGAAACCUAAAACUGAAUCAGCAAGAAGCAGAGUCUGGUGCCUCCACCUCAGCAGUCCCGAAAUCUAAACCAAACAAAAAGCCUUUGCGAGGAGGUGGAAUCAAGAAGUGUGAUGUCUGAUCCUGUCAGAUACCUUUGAUAGCUCUCACAUGGGAUAUUUACCUCCCUGGGGGCUACAACCCACUGUCUGGAGAAGGAGGUGGAACGUGUUCCUGGAGACCAGGCCGGAGAGGCCCGUCAGCAGGUGGAUGAGGUUAACCUCCCUAGUGCCCCAUAGCACUAGCAGGCUUGAUCUUACCCACUGUCUAACUGCCUAGAGGUUGCCUGUCACAGGAACUCCUUUGGGGCUGGUUUAGUGCUGGUGGUCACUUUAAACAACCUUUUCCAAACUGCAUUGGAUGGUCCUACACAAGAAAAAUACCUGGUCCUCUUACAGAGGACAGAGAAACAAUUCCAGCAUAAUCAGUUAUUUUUCACUCUUCUGUAGAGAGGGAGCUUAGUCUCCAGCCAAGGUGAAUCACCUGGAAUUGGUAGAUCUGGGCUCUCUGGCUCUUCAAAACACUGGCCUCAGGCAAAUUUAAUUAUCUACACUCCGUUUACCUCUGUAAAAUGAGGAUAUUAACAUAUGUUACCAGAUCUACUGUGUUUGUCUGGAAGGUCCUUUAGAGAUGAAGGAUAUUAUCAUUGGCAGACACUUUGAAUUUAGGCAGAGGGACUUUCAGGAAAAACACAGGUGAUCUGACAAGUGCCACGGAUUUGCACUGAAGGCCAGUUAUUGCAGAAGAGUCUCUGUGACAAGUCAGCUUGAAUGAUGUUUUCCUCAUAAAUGGUAAACAAACCAGUGAGGAUAACUGAUGCUAGACAUGCUAGACAGCAGAUGGGGGGUGUUCUUGCUAUUCCUUUUUUUUUUUUUUUUUUUAUUUCAACUGCUUUGUAAAAACAAGACACUGUUAAUAUUAAAUAUAAUUGCAAACAAAUGAUAAAUCUA